GGCAAUAUGUCAAUCUAUUAAUAAUAAUAACAGUGGAAAAUUUUGCCCAUUUAUUUUCAACAUGCAAAUUGCAAAAGAAGUCUACAUAAUACAUGACUACAAAGAAAGAUCUAGGUCUAAUCCAUUGUCUCCUUCUUCCUCUUCUUUCUUCUGUUUUUCUUGUUCAUCUUCUGCUGUCUUGGAAGGACCAGGAUCUGUCUGACUGUCCUUAACGAUAUCUUGUAUAAAAUCUUCUGGUUGGAAUGAUGGAUUCCAAGCAGCAGCUGCUUCAGGUUUCUUCUCCUCUUUCUCUUUGGAUUCGUUGGGGUCCUUUCUCAUAAGAUCUCUUGAGCUUCUUAUCAGAGCAAAGAACUUCUCCAUCUUUACUUCAUCAUCUUCUUCCAACUCUCGCUCUUCUUUUCCCUUCUCUUGUUCUUCAACGUUCUCAAUCUUCCUCUUCCUUGUAUCACUCUCCAUGCGAGCUGUCCUCAAACAGGAUCAAAGAAAUUCAAGAUUUAAAACACAUAAACAAGUAGUAGACUAUGGAGAGAGUAUUAGUCUUUUCUUAUUCCCUGAUACCUAACGAAUCGCAAUCCAUGCACAUGCUGGCAUGUAAUAUAGUACAAAGAACUGGCCUAGCUUAGCAGUUGGCAAUAGCAAGUGACUCACUAACUGCAAACCCCGUGUUUCUUGCUGUAUAUAGAGUCAUCA
rnacentral:misc_RNA from 1 species